AGAAACCACUGGUCUAUUUUAUUCCCUUCAUUAUUCAAACGAAGAAAGUGAGGCCCAGAGGGGACGUGUCGGAGAAGAUCCUUGAAUUCGGCCAAAGGAAGUCUGAUUCUGACCCAAAUCAGUUCCCCUCUUCGGGUUUUAGUUUCCUCACCUAGACACAUAAGUACCUAAAGAUGACAACAAUAGCCCAUGUUUAUUGACCCCUAGGAUGUGAGGUCUUAAGUGUUAUGCAUUUUCCAUGGGCCAUCCCAUUUAAGAUUCAAUAACUUUAUGAGCUAUAAUAAUUCCCAUGAGAACACUAAGGCAAGGGAGGUUAAAUAAGUUGGCUGAGGUCCUUCAGUGGCAAAGGCAGAAUUUGAACCUUGGCAGUCCCUCUCCAGGGCCCGGGCACUCAGUCACCACUCGCAUGAGGACGGAAUCCAGAUGGGUCAGCUGGGAAGCGGGGGCUCAGCCCCACUGACCCCUGGGCCAGUGUUCAUGCCACUGGGUCAGGCUGUGUACUCAGCCAGGGCAGUGCGGGUCUUAGGUCGUCUGGAGGCUGCUGGGGUCCUCUGUACUCAGGGCUGUGACCAUGAUACUCGGCACACACUCUGGAGCAGGGAGCUUUGGGCCAGAGCGGGGCUUCCAGAAGGAGGCUUGGAAAGGCUGAGGAGAGCUUUUAGGUUUGUCAUGAGGGAAUCCAGGAAGUGUAAGGGUUCUUGAUCAGGGCCGUGACUGUACAAUAUUAUAGAGAAGCCUCUCCCUGCUCCCUCCCCGCCCCCAGGUGGCGUGCCCACUUAGGAAGUCCUCUAGUAGGCGGCUCAGUCCACAAAGCCAUGCAGUGACACCCCGUCCCUCACCCAGUGUGUCCCUUCCACCCUGGUUAUUCCAGCUUCUUCUCAGAGGCUUCACUGCUAGAACUAGAUGUUGGAUCUGGCUUCCUCCUCAGAAGACAAUUUAUGGCGACAUGUCGGAGACUCUGUUUUAAUGAAGUUGCAAAAGUAGGUUAAUGGGCUGUGGGUGUUUUUCAUUCCCUUCCCCCUGCCCCUUCUCCACCCCUGGGCAGAUGAAUGAUGCCUCUCCCAGCACGACUCAGAGUCGGGCUGAGGAUCUUGGGCCUGGACGUGUAUGCUCACAUAUCUCUUCCUUGGCCUCCACUGGAGCCCUCAGUACCCUCCUCCCUGCUGCUGGCAAGGUGCUCAGCACAUCUAGCCCCCAUCCCUCCUGCUGUAGCUACGGCCUGAAGAUGCUCCAAAGUCUGCCCAGCGGGAAAGAGCAUGGCAUAUUUGAGAGGCAGGAACCAGGGCAAGGGCUGGGGCAGGGCUUGGCACCCUGGGGAAGAAGGCAGCCAGAAUUAUGGCUAACGGAUUUCUUUUGGAUGAGAGAGGCCUGGAGAUGGGAGCUUAGCUAGCAUGGACCUGGGGAAUUCUGCAAGCUGAUGCUGAUAUUUUGGGGGAGGAGCUGAGUUUCUGAGGAUCUCCCCCAUUGUUGUUCCUCCUUCUCUAAUUCAUUUCUGUGUCUCCUAGGGCCAUGCCUGAUACAUGGCUGCCCUUGCAAAUAGUCGCCGAGUGAAUGAUGGACACAAGAGUGAGUGGGCCUUUUUUCCCUGUCCCCAGUCUCUGGGGCUGGAACUCAUCCCCAUUCUUGCUCCCUUCCCACCUGUCUUCCCAGUGCUUGCCCCACACUGCCACGUCUGAGGACAUUUUCCACAACUAAACUGCAAGAGUAAUUCUCCAUUUAUUUGUCUGGGUCCAACAUGAGGGUCUGUCAUCCUGGAAGAGUGGGGUCUCCAGGGGGAAGGGUCUAUCUCUUUUCCCUCCAGAUUCUCCCCUAAGUGAUCCCCACGUAGGGCUCUAAGAUUGGGGUUGGGGCCCAGAGCCUGGUUGUACUUGAAGGCACACAUCCAGGAGGACCAUCCUGCUGUCUAGGCCCCUCUCUCCAGUCCUUCCUCCCUAUAGAAAGCCGAGAGCACUCAUAGUCUCUGGCCUGUAGUCACUUCCAGGGGAGAAGGACCCUUCUCCACUCCCAGCCCCUUCCUGUCAACAAAUGAGGUUAUUGGUCAGGGUUUGGGAACGCCAGGAUGGGGUACAGCAGGCCUCACUUCCCUGCAACGUCAGACCAUCCCCCUUUUCUGGGAGCCUGGACCUCCUCCGUCCUCUCCACCCUUUGGCUUUCUUUUAUAGACUUAGCUCUCUUCUCUCCCUGGGCCUGGGAAGGAUCACAGGUUUGUGGCCCUUUGGACCAAUGUUGUAGACAUCCUGAGAAGCUCUACCAUGAUGCCCAGAAAAGCCCACCAUAAUCCCCAGGCCAGUUCUUUUUUUCUUUUUCUUUUUUUCCCAACCCAGAUAGGACAUUCUUCUCGAAGACUCCAAAGACCUCACUGGACCUUGCUCCAUACUCAGUUUUGCUGUGGCAGAGGGAAGGGCAGCUACCCCUCCUGUGCCCGCGAUGUCAUGCUGCUGUGUGGAACGGGCACCGGCUCUGGAAUCGGUCCCAGGUACUGACUACCUGCGUGCACCUCUGUGAACCUUAGGUUUCGUGUCUGCAGUGCGGUGACAGUCGUAUUUCCAUGGCAGGGUGUUGUCAGGAUGAGAGAUGAUUAGCAGGGAGACACUGAGUUCCAGCGGGUUCGAUGCGCAGAAACAGACGGAAGUGAGAUACCAGGGAAGUACUGCCUCCCGAAGGGCCAUGGGAAGAGACAGCCACACCGCUUUUUUGAUGGAGGUCUUUAAAAAUGGUCUAAACGAGGAAACCCCUGGCCGGUGGCAGAGGGCUGGACGCGUCCUCUUACACUCUUGGGCCCCAGCCCUGGGGACACUGGAAGAAGGUCUGUAGAGGAGGUCAGCCUUGACCUCCUCCACUGCUCUGGCCCCAGCCUGGCCCCUGUGCCCCCUGCCCUGUGUGGACUGCUCACCCUGCCUUGGGUGAGCGCAGAGGGGCGAGGAGAGCCUUCUUGGCUUGCGGCAUAUGGUGAGAAGAUGUCCUGGGGAAUCCUCGCUCCUGAUUUAAGCGGCUCCGACAGCUUUAUGGCGCCUCCUCGAGUGAGCCCCCAACGUUGGCCGUUUAACUUUUUAGCGUCGUUUAACGCUUAGGCUCCGGCGGACAGGCAGGCCCCUCGGCCCCAGAGGCAGCAGUACUAAAUCAGGACACUCUGAGGCCCCGAUAAAUAAUUUUUACAGGGCACGCAGCCCAUAGAUCACCAGUGGGGGUGGGGGGAGAGUGGCUGUGAUAUUUCAAACGAUUGUCAUAUAUGACUACCCCGUGCUCUGAUCCAGGUCGUCCACAUGGCAGCCGGCUUCAUAACCACAGUCAGCUCCAGGGCCCUCUGCAUGGGGCAUGGGAGGAACAGUGGAGACACAGUUCUCUGGUGGCCCCACAGCCAACAGAUGACCCAUUGCCUGCCCUUGUCUACUGACGUGGUGCCCCAAUCCAAGCUUCCUCUGGCACUGGGAUAAUGGGGUUGCUGAGAGCAGGGUGGGCAAGAGGAAGAGAAAGAACUUUGUGUAGGCAAAAGGUCACUUUCGGACCACCUUCCUGGUCCCCAGACAACUCCAAGCCUGAGUGCUCCAAGGGACCUGGUGCCGGGACUGCGGCCAGAGGGAGGACAGACCAGAGGGCUGGAGUGCACAGGACCUGCGGUCAGCUCCCUGCCAUUCGCACCUCUAGGGAAAGGGGCAGGGCGGCAGGGGGACAGAGGAGAGGGGAGUGUGGAAGGACAGAGACUGGAAUAGCGCAGGGAGAAGGGAGGGAGGAGGACAGAAGAACAAAGAUGGAAAGGCGAGAGAGAGAGAGAGAGAGAGAGAGAGAGAGAGAGAGAGAGAGAAGGGGAGAUGGACAGGGACUCACCCACAGGGGACACUGCAACAGAUGGGGUCUUUUCCUAAAGCCUGGUGCCAAGCUGGAGAGACAUGGUAUGGACAGACCCGGGGCCGCAGCAUCUGUGCCCUCUGAGGGCACCCUCCAAUUGGCUCCAGGCCCACGUUACUCUGCACCAGCUCCGCACUGCCCCCGCCCUUGCCCCUCCCUUCAGUGCCCUUGCCCCGUCCCCUCAUCUGUAAGAUCCUGGGAUUUGCGGGGACACUUAAUCCAUAUGGAGCUGAUUCAUUCCCAUCUAAAUCAUCUCCAUCAGCUUCCCUAAGAGCCCUCUGAUGUGCCAGCCGCCAUUCCUCUCCCCCGGCGGUGGCGGGCUGGGGGCUGCCAGUAAACAAACCUCAGCGGCCAUCCAUCAGUCCAGCGGAGACCAUUCGUCUCUCCAGCCCUGCUCCCCCUCCCCGCUCCUCCAGUCCCUCCAUCCGUUUGUCUGUCCCUCUUCUCAACAUCCCUCUCCUAGAACCUCCACGUCUCUGCCUCGUCCAGGGUAGGAUCUUGAGGGGUCAUGUCAGCUGCCCCCCCCCCCCAUCUUCACGAAGACAGGAAACUUACCCCACCCCUGGCUCAGCAACAUGGAGGUUCACCGCCUUCCAAGAAGAGAGGCCUCCAAGUCUGAUGAUACUGCUACACGGCAUGGACAACCCAUACGCAGGGACGUUCUUUCCUCUGUCUAGCUUGUCUGUCUGAGAUCCACGUAGGAUCAUGUGUCUGAGCAGGAGCGAAGGUAAGGUGAUGGGGGUUUUGUACGAGCACGGGAAUCUCCAGUAUCUGUAACAUGCUCCCCCGUGGGUUAGUGUGGUAUAUGAAACGCAAGACCAGCGAAAUGGCCCUCCUUUGCCCCAUCCACCCCAGCAGAGUCCACCCAAGCACACAGUGGGUGCCCCGUGCCGAUGGCUUGCUGGCCAUAAUCUUGUUUAUGAGCUCCAGUGAGUCUAAUGGCCUUCCGUGCAUCCCAGAGAGGUGUCCUGUGGAAUGACCCAGUGGGUCUGAUUGUGGCCCUCUAGCCUAGCAGAGUUUGCAGGGAACACUAAGGAAACAUCUCUCACUUCUGCCCUCCUACCCAAACUUCUUAGCCCAGUCCUGGGGGGCCAGCUUGUGUGAACGACUCUGUAUUGGCAAUAACGGGGCUGGUGAGGAGGAGGACGAGUGGCAGGUGGGAUGGAGCCUUCCAUAGCACCGAGGUGGAACCCUCGCAUUUGGGGGGAUGCCCUCAUGUUUACAUGCAUGAAUGAGAGAUCAGGAGGCGUUCCUUCCCAUGAUGGCCCUUCCCCUGUCAGGUUCUUCAGGUCAUUCUGGGAGUGAUGAUUCUGGGAAAGGGCCGGGGGCCCACUAGCCCCUCAGGAGAAGAUGGGGUCUGGUUCCUCUGGUCCCAUCUCAGUUUCUCCAUCCACAGCACCAGUGAGGGUUGGGGACAAGUCUACCUCUAGAGUAGGGAGUCUGGGUCAGACUCUAGUAAGCUUGCAGGGGGUGGGGGGUGAUUUGGGCAUGAGUGAAAGGGUUUAGGGAGGGAGAAGUCACAGGGGAGGGGAUGAGCCUCACUUAGAUUCCACAGUAAUGAGGAGCAGGAGAGGCAGAGGAGAGGAGGUGGGGAAGAAGAGUCUUCAGAUGCCCUAGGAGAACUGGUGGCCCACACUGCCAUUCCCUCUGAGAGACCCAGGACACUUGGUUGAGCGUCUAAUCACCCCCCUCCCUGGCCCAGAUCAGACCAGACCGAGUAGAGAAUCCCACUGCAUGAGCUCCCCUAGCCCAUGAUUUCCCAGCACCUCUUCCCCUUGUCACUGGUCCCCUCAGGGAGCCGCUGUGAGUGCACACAGAACAUGUGGGGCUCUUCCAGCUGCUAUCCAGCUGUGAGGACCCCUGAGCAUGCCCCUGCCACCUCCCAGUGGGAGAGAAGACUCUAAUUCUAGUCCGAAAGCUGAGAAGGGUAGCGGGGAAGAGGGGCCGGAGGAGGCCAUGGGGAAGCUAACCAUGUACCCCAGUUGUGUGGACAUAUGUGUGGGAGGGGAGGGGCUUGCAGGUGUCGAGGCCCAGCUUAAGAAGGAUGGAGUGUUUCCUAGUUCUCUGAGCUAGAGACAUAUGGGGUAUAUAACACCAAGAAAAUGAAAAUUAUUGCCUAAGAGAGAGAGAGAGGAUGUGGGGGAACAAGAAAAAAUCCAAGCCAGGGAGACCAAUGCCAUCCACCCCCGUCACCAUCAUGACCUGACUAUCUGUGCUUGACGACGACGUCAAAGUCUGAGGGGAGGGGGAGCUUGAGAACUGACCCUCAGGGCCUCCCGGAGGGGGGAAGCUAAUCCCCCAAAUGUGCAUUUCCCUGCUGUUACACAGAGCGGGGGAGCUGGGAACAGCGCUCAAAUUCUCCAGGUGGGACAGCUGCUGGGGCUUUUCCCCUUUCCUUCCCUCUGCCCUCCCUGUUCUCUGGGCUGUUGGGGGAACCAGCGAGCUCUUCUCCCACUGGCCUGUCUCCCUCGGGUCUCCCCAGGACUGGGCCCUCCUUGUCCUCUCAGUGGGUUCCACCCUGUCUUGUCUCCCCCAGAUCUCUUCGUGCAAAAAGCUUCCCAUAUUUUGUCGCUCCCCACACAAUCCCCUCCUUUGAAAAUAGUCCACUUACCCAAACUUGUGGCCAAAGGGGGUCCUUUAGGAUCCACUUGUAGGCUGGUGCCUUCAUCCAGCAGGGCCUGGAGUUUCGUUCGUCCGUCCAGCCUCCUUCACGCAACAUCCGUGUGCCCAAUGGGGGCCAUGACCUCUACGACGCAGGCAAGGAUUCUAGAAGCGUUUCUGUGCUCACAGGCACAGCUCCAGGAGCAGCCUGACUUUUAAUGGAGUUGGCAGCCCUUGUUCUGAUUCCAGGAGAGAGAAGUGUCUAGAAGGAUGCCAGUGGGCUUGGGUGUGACUGAUGCCAUUUCCUUAGGGGAGGCCACCUCCUGUGAGGUCACCCUGUGAUAGUGGUGACUGAGGCUGGAUAGCAGGAGGAACUUCUAAAGACUCAAAGUUGAAGGAAAGAUUUCCAGGUUUCAGUGAAGCUUUUGGGAAAGGAUGAUGUUAACCUUUUCAGGCUCUGUGGGAGCAGAGGGGUCUGUGUGUCUGGAAGGGUUUACUUCGACCCAGGUAGGACUGACCCCAAAGAGGGAUGGCCACUUCCUCUUUCCAGAACCCUGACUCAUCCACACUCAGGGCAAUCCCACUCACAAUUUCUUAGAUGAUUGUUUGUUCCUUGGCCAGAAAUCUGGUUCUUGAACUCCGUCUCCUAUUCUUUUCAUGAUCUGGGAACAAACCAUCUUUGGGAACCAAAUGCAGCUUCAACUUAUGGAGCCAAAAGAACAGAGAGGCAGAGUCAUUUCUAGACAGUGACACUGCAAACCUACAAGGAGCUAGGAAUGUCCCCUAUGGGAAUGCCAUCUUCUCUUUUUUGCAUGGGAAGGGAAAGGAUGUGACCCUGGGGGGAAAGGGCACGGUUGGUGAGAGCAGAGAGUGAUACCAGCUAAAGAACACCCCCCGCCCCCGACCUCCGCCCAGCCAGCCCGGAUCCAAACGUGCACAUGAUGGAAAUGUCUUCACAGCCAACGGCCCCUCCUUCCCAAGGAGAAAAUCCCACAAGUGGGGAACAUCUGGAUCAAACCACAGCCAUGAAAGCACAACAUCAAACGAGGGUUUCCCAGCGACCCUCCCCACAGGCCCUGCUCCAAGAGAAAUUGCAGAUCUUCCUGCUUGAAGCUUUUAAGUGUCACAGAACCCCCUCAAGUUUGGGAUCACUCCUUAUUCACUGGAGACAGAUGUCCCUGAGUGAGCACGGUUGGGUUUGAUUACCCCCAGCGGGAGAGGGUGUGUGUGACCUGAUCCUGGCCAUGUUGGGGGGUAGCCCGGGAUUUAAAGCCGUGAUGAGGGGCUCCAGCAGUUCAGGCUGGGGGCCGGGGAGAGACAGGGGACAGGUGGGCCUUUUAAAACGUGCCUACAUCAAAGGUUUGAGUAGGCUCCCUUCCCAGCGUCGGCGCCUGCGGGGCAAGAAAAGUGCUGAUUUCACCACAUAACUGCACGUAGGAUGGAUCUCAGUCUGAGAACUUCUGGGGAAUGUGGAGAGGGGAGGGAGGGUGCUCCCGAGAGGGGAGGAGAGGCCAAAGGGGGUUUCUCAUUUCCAAAAUAGCCUGCCUAGGCCAAGGGAAAUGGGACCAGAGUCUGCCUCCUUCCUACUCAGCCCCUGCAGAGGGAGAUCGGGAGGGAGGGGUGCGUUCUUCCAAGAGGGAGAUCAGGAGGGAGGGGUGCGUUCUUCCAAGGUGGGGAGGCUGGAGCAGCCGCAGCAGUGGGAGGUGGGCCCGGGAUCACAGAUGGAGGUCCAGGCGCAAGCAGGGCCAUCUUCCCCAAAGGUGUGAAGGAGGAAGGACCGCAGACCAUGUAAUUCUAGGAGACAGUAGGCUCUUCCCUCUCUACCGCCCAGGGUCCUUCCAGACCCAGGAAUCAGAGGGCACCCGGCCAUCAUGUUGGCAGCGUGGGAUGGACUGCGGGGCAGACGGGUUGCGGGGGAGCACCCCAGGGCCGGAAUCCCAGUUCAGAUUUGAGUAAUCUGCCCAGAGGAUGUGUGAGAGAGUGUGCUGGCACGUGGGCACCCCACUGUGAUCUUGGUUUAAGAAGCCAAUGGUUUAUUCUUAUGGCGGAAGGUGACCUUCAGUUGGGAGGGGUAAGGAGAAGAAGGGGUACCAUUUGCUUCGUUAUAUUAGCCACCCCCCCCCCAAUUUCAGGAUGCCUUCCCCUCCCCUUUCCUCUCGGAGGGUUAGAAGUGUGUGUGGUGAUCUGAUGAUGCCAGGUGUACCCAUAGUGUUGGUCCCACACUGCUUUAUAAAGGUCUAUUUACAGUUUCCUUUCCCGUCUGGGCUGAGAGCACCUUGAAGGCACAAACCCCCUUACUCUUCCUGUGUUCCUAGCGCCUGGCACAGUGCGUGUUCCUAGCACCUGGUGCAGUGCCUGGCAGAGAGCGGGUGCUCAGUGAUGUUCCCUGUUUUCCCACGGCCAUUGUUGGGAAAACAAAGGACACCCACAUGAUGAUUCUUCAGCAUCCUGGAAGCCUCUGAGGGGAUCCUAGCUCCUGGCCUACCUCCUUGGGGAGGAUUCUCGCUGACAGCUCUUUCUCCCACCCCUGAAAUUUAUUAUCCAUAAAGUUCACCUUCAUGGUCAGGUUUAUUUUAUUCUUAUUUUUUAAAGUUUAUUUAUUUAUUUAGUUUUGAGAGAGAGAGAGACAGACAGACAGACAGACGCAGAGAGAGACGGAGAAUCCCAA